GAGGGUAUAGCUCAGUGGUAGAGUGUAUGCUUAUCAUGCACGGGGUCUGAGGUUCAAUCCCCAGUACCUCCA
rnacentral:tRNA from 1 species